AAGGCCUGGUGGGUAACGGGAAUCUACAACCUUUUUUUUAUAUAUAUAUACACGAAACCUCGUAUCCGAAAGUCCAAUUCUACAUUCAAAGUAAGACUUUAAUUAAGCAUCGAACCAAUUCACGUCAGUGAAUCUGCAGCAUUUUCAAUUGGGACGGGAAGUCGAUGUAACUCGCUUUCCUUUCCUCUGCCUUGCCCCGACGCUUCUUGUCUGUGGGGUGUGAGACUGAGCGUGAGUGAGUGAGUGGCACUCGUUCCCCCUAGACUGGACUGGAAAGCCAUGGGUUCCCUUUUCUUCAAGCUUCGUCAUCCUCUGCUUCACCAGCUACAGUUUAAGAAGGUUGAGCCCCUCGCCUCCUCCUCCUCCUCCUUCUCUCGACGAUUCAAGUCAUCAUCAUUGACUUGGCUCUUCUCUUCUUCCUCUGGAGCUGAAAUCGAAAAAGAGUAUACUCAGUCUCAGAGUCAGAAUCAGAGUCUAACCCAGGAGGAGUUGGCCAGCAUUAACCUCCUCAUCCCCCGCCUGUGCUUCAUCAACCAGCUCGCCACUGCCAUCCGCCUCAUCUCCGCUGCGCUUCUCCUCCCACAUCCACCCCCUCUCCACUCCCUCUCCCUCCCCGUCCUCAUUCACUCCCUCUCCUCCCAACCCGACUUAUCCCUCUCCGCUUCCCUCCUUACUCGGCUCCAACGCUCCUCUCCACCUCAGCUCACCCCAGUUGCCACACUUCUCAUCGUUUACUACCUCAAGAACCGCAGGCCCCGCGACGCCCUCCAGCUGUUCGACGAUUGGUUGAUGAGACCGGGCUCUUCUUCGUGCCUGCCCCACCCUGCAUCCUCUGGACUUCUGCUGGGUGCUUUCUGUCGGAAUGGGAUGGUGUUCGAAGCUCUCAAGGUAUUGAGUGCCAUGCUGGCUUCGAAUGUCAUCCCCGGCAGCAAUCUGAGGAGGUCCCUCCACAGGAGUUUGCUGAGGGAAGCUAGGAUUGCAGAAGCCGUGGAACUGGAUCGGGCUUUAGCCAAAGCUUCAUCUGACCGCACCGGUGGUGGCAAGAGAGAGGCUGCGCUGCUGCUGGAUCGUAUCUUCAGAGAUUGGACUGAAUGAAUAUAAUGAAUGAAUGAAUGAAUGAGAGUUUGCUUUGAGUUGGGUGGCGGCACUUGUAACGUACAAUGUAAUAGCGGUGCAUCUAAUUUUUCUGGAUCUUCAUCCGGAUAUUCAGCACCUUGCUUAUUUCUAACUUGCAGCCAAGAUGAUGCCGUGUCCAUAUAGCUAGAUUGUAUGAUCUUGUAAGUGCUUUAGUCUUUGGUUUGCUGAUGCAUGGAGAAGGAAAGUUUAAAGGCAGGAAGAGAGGAGCCCAGCAGAUAGAUCCGCAAAAGCUGAUGCUCUCGGCCAGCCGCUCUACUACUUCAUCAAAUUCAAGGAGCGAGGGAAUGUGGCAGAUCAGUUGAAUGUAUCACUGAGGACUUGUUCAUCCUUUUUUCUUGGAUGACUCUGAGUUACCUGGCUGGUUUAUCCUUUUGUUGUUGGAAAACAAUUUGAAUUGAAAUGGGUUGGAAGCUGGUACAUUAACCGAUCUUGUAUAUAGGUCGAUUGACCCGUCUCAAGUGCUUUAGGACAGGACAGUUUCCAUUCCUGUUUGAAGGGAGCCAGCAAUCUAUCCAUAUCUAUCUAUAUAUAUAGUAAUUCAAAGAACUUUCGGC